rnacentral:rRNA from 1 species
GGUUAAGCGACUAAGCGUACACGGUGGAUGCCCUGGCAGUCAGAGGCGAUGAAGGACGUGCUAAUCUGCGAUAAGCGUCGGUAAGGUGAUAUGAACCGUUAUAACCGGCGAUUUCCGAAUGGGGAAACCCAGUGUGUUUCGACACACUAUCAUUAACUGAAUCCAUAGGUUAAUGAGGCGAACCGGGGGAACUGAAACAUCUAAGUACCCCGAGGAAAAGAAAUCAACCGAGAUUCCCCCAGUAGCGGCGAGCGAACGGGGAGCAGCCCAGAGCCUGAAUCAGUGUGUGUGUUAGUGGAAGCGUCUGGAAAGGCGCGCGAUACAGGGUGACAGCCCCGUACACAAAAAUGCACAUGCUGUGAGCUCGAUGAGUAGGGCGGGACACGUGGUAUCCUGUCUGAAUAUGGGGGGACCAUCCUCCAAGGCUAAAUACUCCUGACUGACCGAUAGUGAACCAGUACCGUGAGGGAAAGGCGAAAAGAACCCCGGCGAGGGGAGUGAAAAAGAACCUGAAACCGUGUACGUACAAGCAGUGGGAGCACGCUUAGGCGUGUGACUGCGUACCUUUUGUAUAAUGGGUCAGCGACUUAUAUUCUGUAGCAAGGUUAACCGAAUAGGGGAGCCGAAGGGAAACCGAGUCUUAACUGGGCGUUAAGUUGCAGGGUAUAGACCCGAAACCCGGUGAUCUAGCCAUGGGCAGGUUGAAGGUUGGGUAACACUAACUGGAGGACCGAACCGACUAAUGUUGAAAAAUUAGCGGAUGACUUGUGGCUGGGGGUGAAAGGCCAAUCAAACCGGGAGAUAGCUGGUUCUCCCCGAAAGCUAUUUAGGUAGCGCCUCGUGAAUUCAUCUCCGGGGGUAGAGCACUGUUUCGGCAAGGGGGUCAUCCCGACUUACCAACCCGAUGCAAACUGCGAAUACCGGAGAAUGUUAUCACGGGAGACACACGGCGGGUGCUAACGUCCGUCGUGAAGAGGGAAACAACCCAGACCGCCAGCUAAGGUCCCAAAGUCAUGGUUAAGUGGGAAACGAUGUGGGAAGGCCCAGACAGCCAGGAUGUUGGCUUAGAAGCAGCCAUCAUUUAAAGAAAGCGUAAUAGCUCACUGGUCGAGUCGGCCUGCGCGGAAGAUGUAACGGGGCUAAACCAUGCACCGAAGCUGCGGCAGCGACGCUUAUGCGUUGUUGGGUAGGGGAGCGUUCUGUAAGCCUGCGAAGGUGUGCUGUGAGGCAUGCUGGAGGUAUCAGAAGUGCGAAUGCUGACAUAAGUAACGAUAAAGCGGGUGAAAAGCCCGCUCGCCGGAAGACCAAGGGUUCCUGUCCAACGUUAAUCGGGGCAGGGUGAGUCGACCCCUAAGGCGAGGCCGAAAGGCGUAGUCGAUGGGAAACAGGUUAAUAUUCCUGUACUUGGUGUUACUGCGAAGGGGGGACGGAGAAGGCUAUGUUGGCCGGGCGACGGUUGUCCCGGUUUAAGCGUGUAGGCUGGUUUUCCAGGCAAAUCCGGAAAAUCAAGGCUGAGGCGUGAUGACGAGGCACUACGGUGCUGAAGCAACAAAUGCCCUGCUUCCAGGAAAAGCCUCUAAGCAUCAGGUAACAUCAAAUCGUACCCCAAACCGACACAGGUGGUCAGGUAGAGAAUACCAAGGCGCUUGAGAGAACUCGGGUGAAGGAACUAGGCAAAAUGGUGCCGUAACUUCGGGAGAAGGCACGCUGAUAUGUAGGUGAAGCGACUUGCUCGUGGAGCUGAAAUCAGUCGAAGAUACCAGCUGGCUGCAACUGUUUAUUAAAAACACAGCACUGUGCAAACACGAAAGUGGACGUAUACGGUGUGACGCCUGCCCGGUGCCGGAAGGUUAAUUGAUGGGGUUAGCGCAAGCGAAGCUCUUGAUCGAAGCCCCGGUAAACGGCGGCCGUAACUAUAACGGUCCUAAGGUAGCGAAAUUCCUUGUCGGGUAAGUUCCGACCUGCACGAAUGGCGUAAUGAUGGCCAGGCUGUCUCCACCCGAGACUCAGUGAAAUUGAACUCGCUGUGAAGAUGCAGUGUACCCGCGGCAAGACGGAAAGACCCCGUGAACCUUUACUAUAGCUUGACACUGAACAUUGAGCCUUGAUGUGUAGGAUAGGUGGGAGGCUUAGAAGUGUGGACGCCAGUCUGCAUGGAGCCGACCUUGAAAUACCACCCUUUAAUGUUUGAUGUUCUAACGUUGACCCGUAAUCCGGGUUGCGGACAGUGUCUGGUGGGUAGUUUGACUGGGGCGGUCUCCUCCUAAAGAGUAACGGAGGAGCACGAAGGUUGGCUAAUCCUGGUCGGACAUCAGGAGGUUAGUGCAAUGGCAUAAGCCAGCUUGACUGCGAGCGUGACGGCGCGAGCAGGUGCGAAAGCAGGUCAUAGUGAUCCGGUGGUUCUGAAUGGAAGGGCCAUCGCUCAACGGAUAAAAGGUACUCCGGGGAUAACAGGCUGAUACCGCCCAAGAGUUCAUAUCGACGGCGGUGUUUGGCACCUCGAUGUCGGCUCAUCACAUCCUGGGGCUGAAGUAGGUCCCAAGGGUAUGGCUGUUCGCCAUUUAAAGUGGUACGCGAGCUGGGUUUAGAACGUCGUGAGACAGUUCGGUCCCUAUCUGCCGUGGGCGCUGGAGAACUGAGGGGGGCUGCUCCUAGUACGAGAGGACCGGAGUGGACGCAUCACUGGUGUUCGGGUUGUCAUGCCAAUGGCACUGCCCGGUAGCUAAAUGCGGAAGAGAUAAGUGCUGAAAGCAUCUAAGCACGAAACUUGCCCCGAGAUGAGUUCUCCCUGACCCUUUAAGGGUCCUGAAGGAACGUUGAAGACGACGACGUUGAUAGGCCGGGUGUGUAAGCGCAGCAAUGCGUUGAGCUAACCGGUACUAAUGAACCGUGAGGCUUAACCUU